rnacentral:SRP_RNA from 1 species
GCCGGGCGUGGUGGCUCACGCCUGUAAUCCCAGCACUUUGGGAGGCCGAGAUGGGUGGAUCACCUGAGGUCAAGAGUUCGAGAGCAGCCUGGCCAACAUGGCGAAACCCCAUCUCUU